rnacentral:misc_RNA from 1 species
UCCGAUUUGAAUAUCGGCAGUCUCGUUAGAGUGCCCGACUUUACGCUGGCAACUAACGACAAGGGUUGCGCUCGUUGCGGGACUUAACCCAACAUCUCACGACACGAGCUGACGACAGCCAUGCAGCACCUAACUACAGGUUCUCCGAAGAGCACCCCGAUUUUUCGACCAGGUUCCUGCAUUUUCUAGCCCAGGUAAGGUUCUGCGCGUUGCGUCGAAUUGAACCACAUGCUCCACCGCUUGUGCGGGCCCCCGUCAAUUCCUUUGAGUUUCAGUCUUGCGACCGUACUCCCCAGGCGGAUUGCUUAUCGCGUUAGCUGCGGCACGAUCGGAUUGGGUACCGAUCACACCAAGCAAUCAUCGUUUAGGGCUAGGACUAC